rnacentral:rRNA from 1 species
AGCAGCCGCGGUAAUUCCAGCUCCAAUAGCGUAUAUUAAAGUUGUUGCAGUUAAAAAGCUCGUAGUUGAAUUUCGGGGUCAGUAGGUCGGUCGUGCCACUGGUAUGAACUGGUUUUACUGUUUCCUCCCUCCUGAAGAACUGUAAUGCCAUUAAUUUGGUGUUGCAGGGGAUCAGGACUGUUACUUUGAAAAAAUUAGAGUGUUUAAAGCAGGCUUUAGCUUGAAUACAUUAGCAUGGAAUAAUGAAAUAGGACGUUUGAUCCUAUUUUGUUGGUUUCUAGGAUUGACGUAAUGAUUAAUAGGGAUAGUUGGGGGCAUUAGUAUUCAAUUGUCAGAGGUGAAAUUCUUGGAUUUAUUGAAGACUAACUACUGCGAAAGCAUUUGCCAAGGAUGUUUUCAUUAAUCAAGAACGAAAGUUAGGGGAUCGAAGACGAUCAGAUACCGUCGCAGUCUUAACCAUAAACUAUGCC